AUCUAUGGUCAUACCACCCUGAACGCACCUGAUCUCAUCUGAUCUUGCAAGCUAAGCAGGGUCAGGCCUGGUUAGGACUUGGAUGGGAGAGAACCUGGAAGUGGCUCCUAGAUC
rnacentral:rRNA from 1 species